UAAGUUUGCUAGGGGAGCCGGUAGUCCGGCUGAGAGGAAAACACAUGAGUUUUUGACCCUUUAACCUGAUCUAGUUCGUACUAGCGUAGGGAAGCGGCACUGUUCAUAU
rnacentral:ncRNA from 2 species